GACGAACGCUGGCGGCGUGCUUAACACAUGCAAGUCGAACGGAAAGACCCUGCUUUUGUGGGGUGCUCGAGUGGCGAACGGGUGAGUAACACGUGAGUAACCUGCCCUUGACUUUGGGAUAACUUCAGGAAACUGGGGCUAAUACCGGAUAGGAGCUCCUGCUGCAUGGUGGGGGUUGGAAAGUUUCGGCGGUUGGGGAUGGACUCGCGGCUUAUCAGCUUGUUGGUGGGGUAGUGGCUUACCAAGGCUUUGACGGGUAGCCGGCCUGAGAGGGUGACCGGCCACAUUGGGACUGAGAUACGGCCCAGACUCCUACGGGAGGCAGCAGUGGGGAAUAUUGCACAAUGGGCGGAAGCCUGAUGCAGCAACGCCGCGUGCGGGAUGACGGCCUUCGGGUUGUAAACCGCUUUCGCCUGUGACGAAGCGUGAGUGGCGGUAAUGGGUAAAGAAGCACCGGCUAACUACGUG
rnacentral:rRNA from 1 species